rnacentral:rRNA from 1 species
UACGUAGGGUGCGAGCGUUAAUCGGAAUUACUGGGCGUAAAGCGUGCGUAGGCGGUCCGCGAAGUCUGAUGUGAAAGCCCCGGGCUCAACCUGGGAACUGCAUUGGAAACUAACGGGCUCGAGUGUGGCAGAGGGGGGUGGAAUUCCACGUGUAGCAGUGAAAUGCGUAGAGAUGUGGAGGAACACCGAUGGCGAAGGCAGCCCCCUGGGCUAACACUGACGCUGAGAAGCGAAAGCAUGGGGAGCGAACAGG